rnacentral:rRNA from 2 species
GUCGAGCGGACAGAUGGGAGCUUGCUCCCUGAUGUUAGCGGCGGACGGGUGAGUAACACGUGGGUAACCUGCCUGUAAGACUGGGAUAACUCCGGGAAACCGGGGCUAAUACCGGAUGGUUGUUUGAACCGCAUGGUUCAAACAUAAAAGGUGGCUUCGGCUACCACUUACAGAUGGACCCGCGGCGCAUUAGCUAGUUGGUGAGGUAACGGCUCACCAAGGCAACGAUGCGUAGCCGACCUGAGAGGGUGAUCGGCCACACUGGGACUGAGACACGGCCCAGACUCCUACGGGAGGCAGCAGUAGGGAAUCUUCCGCAAUGGACGAAAGUCUGACGGAGCAACGCCGCGUGAGUGAUGAAGGUUUUCGGAUCGUAAAGCUCUGUUGUUAGGGAAGAACAAGUACCGUUCGAAUAGGGCGGUACCUUGACGGUACCUAACCAGAAAGCCACGGCUAACUACGUGCCAGCAGCCGCGGUAAUACGUAGGUGGCAAGCGUUGUCCGGAAUUAUUGGGCGUAAAGGGCUCGCAGGCGGUUUCUUAAGUCUGAUGUGAAAGCCCCCGGCUCAACCGGGGAGGGUCAUUGGAAACUGGGGAACUUGAGUGCAGAAGAGGAGAGUGGAAUUCCACGUGUAGCGGUGAAAUGCGUAGAGAUGUGGAGGAACACCAGUGGCGAAGGCGACUCUCUGGUCUGUAACUGACGCUGAGGAGCGAAAGCGUGGGGAGCGAACAGGAUUAGAUACCCUGGUAGUCCACGCCGUAAACGAUGAGUGCUAAGUGUUAGGGGGUUUCCGCCCCUUAGUGCUGCAGCUAACGCAUUAAGCACUCCGCCUGGGGAGUACGGUCGCAAGACUGAAACUCAAAGGAAUUGACGGGGGCCCGCACAAGCGG